GCUAAUCUGCGAUAAGCGUCGGUAAGGUGAUAUGAACCGUUAUAACCGGCGAUUUCCGAAUGGGGAAACCCAGUGUGUUUCGACACACUAUCAUUAACUGAAUCCAUAGGUUAAUGAGGCGAACCGGGGGAACUGAAACAUCUAAGUACCCCGAGGAAAAGAAAUCAACCGAGAUUCCCCCAGUAGCGGCGAGCGAACGGGGAGCAGCCCAGAGCCUGAAUCAGUGUGUGUGUUAGUGGAAGCGUCUGGAAAGGCGCGCGAUACAGGGUGACAGCCCCGUACACAAAAAUACACAUAUUGUGAGCUCGAUGAGUAGGGCGGGACACGUGGUAUCCUGUCUGAAUAUGGGGGGACCAUCCUCCAAGGCUAAAUACUCCUGACUGACCGAUAGUGAACCAGUACCGUGAGGGAAAGGCGAAAAGAACCCCGG
rnacentral:rRNA from 1 species